GUUGGGGACCAUUGGGAAGGUGCACGUACAUGAUGUACUUCAUUACACGUGUCUCUAUGUUAAACUUGCCCCUUCA
rnacentral:lncRNA from 1 species